rnacentral:rRNA from 1 species
GGCUUAUUGAUAGAAGAUUUUAGGUCUAUCCUGCCCCCUGAUAAUAGUUAAAUGGCCGCAGUAUUUUGACUGUGCUAAGGUAGCAUAAUAAUUAGUUUUUUAAUUGGAAGCUGGUAUGAAUGGUAUGAUGAGAAAAUUACUGUCUCUAUUAAAAAGUUAAAAUUUUAUUUUUAAGUUAAAAAGCUUAAAUAUUAUUAAAAGACGAGAAGACCCUGUAGAAUUUUAUUUAAAUUUAUUUUUAUUAAUAAAGUAUUUAAAAUUGAAAAAUAAGUUUAUAUUUAGUUGGGGUGAUUAGAAAAAUUAAGUAUCUUUUUUUUAUAAUAACAUUGAUUUAUGGUUGUAUGAUUCAUAUUAAUGAUUUAAGAAUAAAUUACCUUAGGGAUAACAGCGUAAUUUUUUUUUAGAGCUCUAAUCAAAAAAAAAGAUUGCGACCUCGAUGUUGGAUUAAAAU